GAUGAACGCUGGCGGCGUGCUUAACACAUGCAAGUCGAACGAUGAAGCCAGCUUGCUGGUGGAUUAGUGGCGAACGGGUGAGUAACACGUGAGUAACCUGCCCUUGACUCUGGGAUAAGCCUGGGAAACCGGGUCUAAUACUGGAUACGACCUUCCCACGCAUGUGGUGUUGGUGGAAAGCUUUUGUGGUUUUGGAUGGACUCGCGGCCUAUCAGCUUGUUGGUGGGGUAAUGGCCUACCAAGGCGACGACGGGUAGCCGGCCUGAGAGGGUGACCGGCCACACUGGGACUGAGACACGGCCCAGACUCCUACGGGAGGCAGCAGUGGGGAAUAUUGCACAAUGGGCGCAAGCCUGAUGCAGCGACGCCGCGUGAGGGAUGAAGGCCUUCGGGUUGUAAACCUCUUUCAGUAGGGAAGAAGCUGAUCUUUUGGGUUGGUGACGGUACCUGCAGAAGAAGCGCCGGCUAACUACGUGCCAGCAGCCGCGGUAAUACGUAGGGCGCAAGCGUUAUCCGGAAUUAUUGGGCGUAAAGAGCUCGUAGGCGGUUUGUCGCGUCUGCCGUGAAAGUCCGGGGCUUAACCCCGGAUCUGCGGUGGGUACGGGCAGACUAGAGUGCAGUAGGGGAGACUGGAAUUCCUGGUGUAGCGGUGAAAUGCGCAGAUAUCAGGAGGAACACCGAUGGCGAAGGCAGGUCUCUGGGCUGUAACUGACGCUGAGGAGCGAAAGCAUGGGGAGCGAACAGGAUUAGAUACCCUGGUAGUCCAUGCCGUAAACGUUGGGCACUAGGUGUGGGGGACAUUCCACGUUUUCCGCGCCGUAGCUAACGCAUUAAGUGCCCCGCCUGGGGAGUACGGCCGCAAGGCUAAAACUCAAAGGAAUUGACGGGGGCCCGCACAAGCGGCGGAGCAUGCGGAUUAAUUCGAUGCAACGCGAAGAACCUUACCAAGGCUUGACAUGAACCGGAAUGAUGCAGAGAUGUGUCAGCCACUUGUGGCCGGUUUACAGGUGGUGCAUGGUUGUCGUCAGCUCGUGUCGUGAGAUGUUGGGUUAAGUCCCGCACCGAGCGCAACCCUCGUUCCAUGUUGCCAGCAGGUUAUGCCGGGGACUCAUGGGAGACUGCCGGGGUCCACUCGGAAGAAGGUGGGGACGACGUCAAAUCAUCAUGCCCCUUAUGUCUUGGGCUUCACGCAUGCCUACAAUGGCCGGGACAAAGGGUUGCGAAUACUGUGAGGUGGAGCUAAUCCCCAAAAGCCGGUUCUCAGUUCGAAUUGAGGUCUGGCACCUCCCCCUCCUGAAGUUGGGAGUCCCUAGUAAUCGCAGAUCAAGCACGCCUGCGGUGAAAACGUUCCCGGG
rnacentral:rRNA from 1 species